UACGGGGGGGGGCAAGCGUUGUUCGGAAUUACUGGGCGUAAAGGGCGCGUAGGCGGCCUGCUAAGUCGGACGUGAAAUCCCUCGGCUCAACCGGGGAACUGCGUCCGAUACUGGUGGGCUCGAAUCCGGGAGAGGGAUGUGGAAUUCCAGGUGUAGCGGUGAAAUGCGUAGAUAUCUGGAGGAACACCGGUGGCGAAGGCGGCAUCCUGGACCGGCAUUGACGCUGAGGCGCGAAAGCCAGGGGAGCAAACGGG
rnacentral:rRNA from 1 species